rnacentral:lncRNA from 1 species
GCCCGCGGUGCACCCCCUCUUUCGCCCUGCCCUCCUUCUCUUCCCACCUACCCACCCCGACACCCCUCGUCCCUCCCCCAACCACUCGGAAUGGAUAGACAGAGUACGUCAAAGUCCUUGGCCUGCUUCCCUGAAUUGUUCCUGUCUUGGCGCAGGACCUGAGACACUGACAGAAGAAAUAUUUUCCACGAAAAUCUCUUUCAACAAAGAGGAACACCAGUGGCAGCGCUGAGGACAGAAUGAGUGUGGGUAAGUAGAAGGGUGAGAUGCCCUCUAGCCAUUCACAGAAUUGA